GUGGGGAAUAUUCCGCAAUGGACGAAAGUCUGACGGAGCAACGCCGCGUGAGUGAUGAAGGUUUUCGGACUGUAAAGCUCUGUUGUUUAGGACGAAAGUGCCUGUUGCGAACAGUUACAGGUAUUGACGGUACUAAACGAGGAAGCCACGGCUAACUACGUGCCAGCAGCCGCGGUAAUACGUAGGUGGCAAGCGUUGUCCGGAAUUAUUGGGCGUAAAGAGCAUGUAGGCGGAGGUUUAAGUCUGUUGUGAAAAUGCGGGGCUCAACCCCGUAUUGCGAUGGAAACUGAAUUUCUUGAGUGCAGGAGAGGAAAGGGGAAUUCCCAGUGUAGCGGUGAAAUGCGUAGAUAUUGGGAGGAACACCAGUGGCGAAGGCGCCUUUCUGGACUGUGUCUGACGCUGAGAUGCGAAAGCCAGGGUAGCGAACGGGAUUAGAAACCCCUGUAGUCC
rnacentral:rRNA from 1 species